ensembl:lincRNA
GAGGGCACUGGAUUCUCCUAGAACUGGAACCGAAAGUGGUUAUGACCCACCUGUGCAGAGAGGAACCUGAGCCAUCUCUCCACCACCCAACUCCUUGAAUUCUUAGCAGACAGAUGUCAAGAGCCACUCACUUUGGCUGUUUCCGCCUUUUAUACAUGACCAGUGUGAACACCACCAGCACCGUCACCAGGAGGACUGCCGCCAUGGCAAUGGUAGCAGAGAUGAUGUUCCUCUGCAGGAAGCUCAGCAGCUGUCCGCACGGUAGACUCUCCCUGGAGGCACCUAAAUAGGAAGACACAAGGAGAGGAAGCUGGAGGAGGCCUGAAUCCAUCCCUGACAGGUUGCAGAAUGUUUGUACAAUCCACAAAGACCUAAAAAAAAUGAGAAAAUGAACCACACCAAGAUAUCUAUUGGCAUCUCCAAAUGACAUAACGCCCUUAGGAGAAAGAGGCAGGUUUGGAAAUGAAAAACCUUUGCAUCCCGGCUCUGCCUCUGGCUAUCUGUGACCCGUGUGAAUAAGAGGGCUGCCAAAAUCCCUGGGGGCAUUUGGUCCAGGGAAAUGGGAGGCCAAGAGCUGUCUUUGGCAGACAUGGGAAGAUCCCAGAAACAGUGUUAUAAGUGAUCUGAGCUGUUCCAUGGAACAAUCUGGAAGCCAUGGGCAGGAGCCCUGAAAAGAUCUGCAUGGUCUGUGUGAAUUGGAAAGGAAAACUAACAAAAACAAAUGGGCAGGGUAAGAAAGUGACUUCCACACCCCUAGACAACCUCAAGCCAAGCUGUGGCUCCAGGGACCAGGAGAUAAACCUGAAACCUCAAGAGGAAAUGGGGGGGGAGGGGAGCUUCCUGAAUCUUUGGGCAGGUUCACAAAGGAAACAAGACUAGUUGGCAUGGGAUAAAGGAUAUUAAGUGUGUGGUAAGAGAUUCCCCAACGUUCUCAUCAUUCUUUCUUUCUUUCUUUUUUAAGAUGUAUUUAUUAUAUGUGAGUACACUGUAGCUGUCUGCAGACACACCAGAAGAGGGCAACAGAUCUCAUUACAGAUGGUUGUGAACCACCAUGUGGUUACUGGGAAUUGAACUCAGGACCUUUGGAAGAGCAGUCAGUGCUCUUAACUGCUGAGUCAUCUCUCAAGCCCAGUUCUUGUCAUCCUUAGAAAAGAAAGGGAUCCAUUCAUUUUCCAAGUUGGCUUAGGAAGGUUUAACUUAAUAUGCCUGGCAAUAAGUUGACUUUGAAUGUGGCAACUCAUUACAGGGAUCAGCAGCCAGAGACCGAGUGUGGCUGAUAUGGUGUCAGUCCUGAGGGCUGCUGCAUCGCCUAGUCUUUCAGAAGCUUGUAUAAAGAGUGCUUCUGUAUGGGGAGAUAGGCUAAGCCAGGGAAUUUGCUUGGCACAUAAGUACGAGGAGCUGAGCCUGCCCCUCAGGGCCCAUGAAAGAAAUGGCAGGCAUGGCGGUGAACAUCUGAAAGCCUGCUGUUCUGGAGAGACAGAGACGGGGCAUCCCUGGGGCUUGCCAAUCAACCAGGCCUACUUGCUGAGUUACAGGCUAUCGAAAACCCACCUCAAAAAUCAAGGGGAGGCCAACGGGAUGGUUCGGUGGAUAAAGGUGCCUGCCGCCAAGCCUGAAGACCUAAGUUCAAGCUCAGCAUCCACAUA